CCUACGGGUGGCAGCAGUGAGGAAUAUUGGUCAAUGGACGCGAGUCUGAACCAGCCAAGUCGCGUGAAGGAUGACUGCCCUAUGGGUUGUAAACUUCUUUUAUAAGGGAAUAAAAUCUGCCACGUGUGUCUUUUUGUAUGUACCUUAUGAAUAAGGAUCGGCUAACUCCGUGCCAGCAGCCGCGGUAAUACGGAGGAUUCGAGCGUUAUCCGGAUUUAUUGGGUUUAAAGGGUGCGUAGGUGGGUUGUUAAGUCAGUUGUGAAAGUUUGCGGCUCAACCGUAAAAUUGCAUUUGAUACUGUCAGACUUGAGUACAGUAGAGGUAGGCGGAAUUCGUGGUGUAGCGGUGAAAUGCUUAGAUAUAACGCAGAACUCCGAUUGCGAAGGCAGCAUACCAGCGUGCAACUGACGCUGAUGCACGAAAGCGUGGGUAGCGAACAGGAUUAGAUACCCGAGUAGUC
rnacentral:rRNA from 1 species